CCUACGGGUGGCAGCAGUGGGGAAUAUUGCACAAUGGGGGAAACCCUGAUGCAGCGACGCCGCGUGAAGGAAGAAGGAUCUCGGUUUGUAAACUUCUAUCAGCAGGGAAGAAAACAGACGGUACCUGACUAAGAAGCCCCGGCAAACUACGUGCAAGCAGCACGGGUAAUACGUAGGGGGCAAGCGUUUUCCGGAUUUAAUGGGUGUAAAGGUGGCGCAAACGGGCAUGGCAAGCCCGGUGUGAAAGCCUGGGGCAUAACCCCUGAACUGCAGUGGAAACUGUCAGGCUGGAGUGUCGGAGAGGUAAGUGGAAUUCCUGGUGUAGCGGUGAAAUGCGUAGAGAUCAGGAGGAACACCGGCGGCGAAGGCGACUUGCUGGACGACAACUGACGUUGAGGCCCGAAAGCGUGGGGAGCGAACAGGAUUAGAUACCCUUGUAGUC
rnacentral:rRNA from 1 species